rnacentral:lncRNA from 1 species
GUCUUACUGUAAGGACCCCAGAUACCUUCUGGAUAUAUGAGGCAGCAAUGUACCACUGAUGUUUACAAUAGUCAGGCCAAGGCUGAUGGUUAAGGAAACAUUUAAUGUAUCUAAUUGCUUUGGGCAGCCUCUCAAUAGUAGUAGUAGUAAGAAGAAGAAGAAGAAGAAGAAGAAGAAGAAGAAGAAGAAGAAGAAGAAGAAGAAGAAGAAGAAGAAGAAGAAUAUCAUACAAUCAUAAGGUUAGGAGAUACCCCUAAGGAUCAUCCAGUUCACCUUCCUUCUACCAUGCAAGACGACACAAACCAAGCACUCCUGACAGAUGGCCAUCCAAGAUCUGUACAAUAAUAAUACAAAUCGAAUCAUAGAAUCAGACAGUUAGGAGAGACCCCUAAAGGAUCAUCCAGUUCAACUUCCUUAUAUCAUGCAGGAGGACACAAUCCAACCACUCCUGACAGAUAGCCAUCCAAUAUCUGCACAAUAAUAAUACACAUUGAAUCAUAGAAUCAGACAGUUAGGAGAGACCCCUAAGGGCCAUCCAGUCCAACCCAACUCUGCCAUUGGACGACACAAUCCAAGCACUCCUGACAGAUGGCCAUCCAGUCUCUACAUAAUAAUGAUGGUGAAGAUGAUGAUGAUGAUGAUGAUGAUGAUGAUGAUGAUGAUAAUAAUAAUAGAAGCAUACCCCUAAGGACCAUCCAGCCCAACCCUUUCUACUAUGCAGCAAGACAUAAUCCAAGCAUUCACAACACAUGGACAACGUAUAAAUACUAUGCAAUACUACACAGGGACAUAAACCCCCUCUACCCUCACCACUUUCACAAUACACAAACAACCAAAUGCAUACUAAACAUAAAGACAACCAUACAACAGACAUUCAAUACCACCACUACCUCAACAAGUUCUCACCAACACCACCAGACAACGCCAAAGCAACGCGUGGCCGGGCACAGCUAG